UACAGAGGCCUCAAGCGUUAAUCGGAAUCACUGGGCUUAAAGCGUGCGUAGGCGGACAUACAAGCAUGUUGUGAAAUCCCAUGGCUCAACCAUGGAACUGCUUCGUGAACUGCAUGUCUUGAGACAAGUAGGGGUGGUCGGAACGAUAGGUGGAGCGGUGAAAUGCGUAGAUAUCUAUCGGAACACCGAAGGAGAAGUCAGGCCACUGGGCUUGUUCUGACGCUGAGGCACGAAAGCGUGGGGAGCAAACGGG
rnacentral:rRNA from 1 species